CAAGGCGUAGCUAUAAAUCCAAAGCAUUCAGCUUACACCUGAAAGAUGUCCACAAACUAGGACCGCCUUGA
rnacentral:tRNA from 1 species